AUGCGAUUUUGUGUGUGCCAAGUGUCCUAUAGCAUGAAAAAGAACCAGGAUCUUUUGUAUUCAGCUUGCAGUUUGCAGCACACAUUUCAUCCUCCUCACUCACACAUAUGGACUCAACAUAAUGAUCCGACUUUGAUUUAUGCAUGUGGGUGUGAAUGCAGGAAGUUGAGUGGUUCGAUCAAUGUUAACGGAGGACAAGCAGGGACCAUCAGUCGAGUGGAAGGCAGAAGACGUCACAGCACUGAUGAAAAUAACAUCCAGGUCGUGUCAGAGCAGUCCUCAGACACAGAGCUAUCUUCCCCAAAGCUCUUGCCCUUCUUUCCUCCCAAUAUCCCACCUCCACCUUUCCCUCCUCCCUCCAUCGGCACCACACAACCCCUCAUACCACCACCACCCGGUUUUCCAUUACCUCCCGGUACCCCUUCUCCAAUGAUACCACCAUUAAAUAGUGGACGUUUGGCAGGAGGCUUUGAUCGACACUCAGCUACAUCUUACCCCUUCCCUGCAGGUGUGUAUUCACCUGCAGUGGGCAUGGCUUCAUGGUCAGGUGUGAUAGACAGUGGCAAAGCAUGGGAAAACUACAACCGCCGUAACAAUGAAAGGGUGAGGGAGAAAACCAGAGAAAGAGGACACAAGAAAGAGCAAGAGGAUGAGAGAGAGCGGUAUAGAGAAACAAAUAGAGAACACAGUCCGUCCUCACAAGAUCACAGAAGUGAGGAGGAGCAUGUGUCUCGACACAGAGAUCACAGUCAUUACGGAAGCGAGAGGUACAAGAAAAGCUCGGGAAGGGAAGGAAUGAGAGACAGACAUCAAGAAAGACGACGCAGAGACAGGAAUGAACAACACAGAUCCUCACGCAGUGGCAGCAGUAGGAGGCGUCAUGAUAGUGAUGACGCAGAUAGCCACAGGAGACACAGGCACAAACGCUCUAGACACAACCGAGGAAGCCUUGAGCCCAGCGAGGACUGCAGUGUGGACCAGGAGAACCAGUCAGAGGCCACAGAAUAACUCCCUGGCCAGCUG
ensembl:lncRNA